rnacentral:misc_RNA from 1 species
CAUAUAGUUUGUAAAACUUAUUUCAGAAAAUGUUACAAUGGCUUUUUCGUAUUCUUCUACUUUUCAUCUUUAGCGUAGACAAUUCAGAGGCGGAAACCUGUAAGAAGGAAGUAUUUGGAGUUACAACUUAUAAAUCCUGCCCCGAAUCUGAUGAUCCAGCUUCUUAUAAAUACUGUUGUGGACCUUCUUGGGGCAGGUUUUGCUGUGACAAGCCUCUCAGGGAAAAUAAAGUGAUAUUGGAGUUCGGACCCACGACGGAGGUGGAGCAGGGAACGGAUCUUAACCUCGAUGGUGACCUUGAAGGGAAGAAGGACAGCCAUAAAGAAGAGAAGGUGGUCACUGUCGGCCAGCUCUUUGAGAACACUAUAGAAGGGAAGAAGAAAGCGAUAUUCAGAGAUUUUGAUGAGGACUUUGACGACGACUUUGAAGGUAUUGCAAAGUUGAUCGGUAUUGUGGUGGGUAGUCUCUUUGUUAUUGCAUUCCUAAUCCUGGUUGGAUGUUGCUGUAUACCCUGCUGUUUCCUAGCUAAGAGAAGGAAAAGAACCAGAGGGAUGGUUCAUAAUCCUGCAGGAACCCAGCUAGCCCAGGCCUUAUAUCCUACCCAACCACGAGGAGCUCUUAUUCAAUCUCGUCCUCAGCCUCAACCCUAUCCGUACACACAGCAUCCAGCAUAUCCUCAGUAUCCUCCACAGCCCACAGGAUAUUUACCUCAACCCUGCACUGAUGUUGGAGGUCCACCUCCUGGUUAUCCGGCCCAACCUCCUCCAUAUCCUGGACCUCCGAGUACUCCUCAACCUCACUCUGGACCUACUCAAUCCUACUCAGAGAAGCAGCCUGCCUUUAAUCCUAAUUCAUCCUAACCAACCACAGAUUAAACAAGAUUGAACAGGAGAUGUCUUUGCUAUGUUAAAUCUGCAUCUUAAACUAAUGCUGAAGAAACAUUUUGUCUAAUAUAUGACACCUCUUGCUUAAUGCUUGUAUGGCCUCAAAUUUAUGAUUAAAAAGCGCACAAUUUUGUUCAAAUUACAGACCGUGAUUUUAGUAUUUUACCGUCCGAUAAACAAUCUUUAUAAUAUAACCAAUGGUUGAAGAUAUAUUUUAAAAAAUGGAUUAUUUGUUCUGGUGUACCUCGUGUACCUAAUUCAGGGGCGGUUACAAGGGGGGGGACAUUCGCCCCCCCUGAAUUUGGAAUUUUUUUGUUCCUAUUUUCAGAAUAGCUUCUCAAUAGCAUGCUUAAG